AAGGAUGAAAAUAAUUUAGAAUCACACAAUCCCAGACUGGUUUGGGUUGAAGGGACCCUAAAUCCCCCCCAGCCCCUGCCACGGGCAGGGACCCCUUCCACUGGAGCAGCUGCUCCAAGCCCCUGUGUCCAACCUGGCCUUGAGCACUGCCAGGGAUGGGGCAUUCAUAGCUUCCCUCGGCACCCUGUGCCAGCGCCUCAGCACCCUCCCAGGGAACAGCUUCUGCCUAAGAGCUCAGCUCAGUCUCCCCUUGGGCAGGUUCAAGCCAUUCCCCUUGGCCUGUCCCUGCAGGCCCUUGUCCCAAGCCCCUNNNNNNNNNNNNNNNNNNNNUGCACGGACUCGGCAUCCACCUCCUGCACGGCGCCACCACCGUGGUCUUUGGGCGUGCAGCCAUGUGCACACUGUGUGUGCCAGAACAGACCCUUUCAAGAGCUCCAGAAGACUUUUUUAGCCUCUUUCUUUCAUCUGCAAGACCAAAAAGGAAAGAGAGGUUUCUGCAACUGGGAAGCAGGAGAAGAGAGCGGAGGUACAAUUGCAGCAUGGCUGAGAGGAACAACAGUGAAGACACGAGGGUUGUCCUUGUUUCUCCCCAAAUUCCAUCACAUAUUUUCUUGUUUAAUGUCUGACCUUCUUUUUUGGUGCAUUUAAGAAAUAAGUUUUAUGACAGCAAGGAAAACGCAUCAUCUUUUCAGAGAGGUAUGCCAGGCCCUGCACAAUGUGGUUCGGCACUGUUUAAGAAUGGGAAGUAUUCCAAUAUACUGUGGUUCUCAGAUGCCCAAGGGAAAGAGACUUUUAUUAUCAUUGGUCACAGGGCUGCCAAAUGUUAUCUCAUAAAUUUGUGUCUUUCACAAUGGAUGAGGUGAGAAAUAACCUUGUUUAUUUAUUCUGGUUGGUUUAGGUGGUAAUGUCCACGGCAAUGAGAUAUAGCUACAUUGCUGUUGUGGUUAUUUGAAUACCUAAAAGAGUCUUACACUACAGAAGUUGUUCACUGAAUACAAAAUACAGUCCCCAAAGCUCUUCCAUAAAAACACAUUGUGGGAAAACACAACAACACAAGUAAUACUUGUUUUCUCUCUCAAAAAUUGCUCAAAAACACUUGGUUUUCAGAUGUGCAAUGCUGGGAAAGUAGUAUGUAACUGAUGGGGUGAUAGCUUCAAAAAGGGAAUGCUGCUUUUCAAGCAAUUCCCUUUUAAGCGGGCAUUACUUUGUGGAUUGAUCACUGGAGAAACAAAAGUGAGCUUGCACUUUUGAAAUCUACUGCAAAACUGGCACAGGCUUAAUAAGAAAGCAAGAUGCAAGUCAGUGGGUUUGAGGUGAGGUUAAUGUCCCAUUUUUCUGUGUUGUGAACAGUGGGGUGGUUUCUUUUUCCAUACAAUAACUUACAGGAUUGGGAAGAUUCUGCAAAAUCAUGUUCAUUUUGAGAAGAACUAAAGCAAAUGCAAAUGGGUCCCUGAGUUUUGAAGAGUACCAUGUGCUGUGUACAGUGUAAUAAAUCAAAACCUUUCUGUUCCUGUCGCGAUCUG
rnacentral:lncRNA from 14 species